rnacentral:tRNA from 2 species
GUUUCUAUAGUUGAAUAACAACGAUGAUUUUUCAUGU